GAUCCCCCGGGCUGCACCCAAUGUGGAAUUCGCCCUUGUGCCAGCCGCCGCGGUAAUACGUAGGGAGCGAGCGUUGUCCGGAAUUAUUGGGCGUAAAGAGCUCGUAGGCGGCUUGGUAAGUCGGAUGUUAAACCUCCAGGCUCAACCUGGAGCCGCCAUCCGAUACUGCCAUAGCUAGAGUCCGGUAGGGGCCCACGGAACUCCUGGUGUAGCGGUGAAAUGCGCAGAUAUCAGGAAGAACACCGGUGGCGAAGGCGGUGGGCUGGGCCGGCACUGACGCUGAGGAGCGAAAGCGUGGGGAGCGAACAGGAUUAGAUACCCUGGUAGUCCACGCCGUAAACGUUGGGCACUAGGUGUGGGACCUUAUCAACGGGUUCCGUGCCGUAGCUAACGCAUUAAGUGCCCCGCCUGGGGAGUACGGCCGCAAGGCUAAAACUCAAAGGAAUUGACGGGGGCCCGCACAAGCGGCGGAGCAUGUGGCUUAAUUCGAGGCAACGCGAAGAACCUUACCUGGGUUGAACUACGCAGGAAAAGCCGUAGAGAUACGGUGUCCGAAAGGGUCUGCGAUAGGUGGUGCAUGGCCGUCGUCAGCUCGUGUCGUGAGAUGUUGGGUUAAGUCCCGCAACGAGCGCAACCCUUGUCCUAUGUUGCCAGCGGGUAAUGCCGGGGACUCGUAGGAGACUGCCGGGGUCAACUCGGAGGAAGGUGGGGAUGACGUCAAGUCAUCAUGCCCCUUACGUCCAGGGCUGCACACAUGCUACAAUGGCCGAUAC
rnacentral:rRNA from 1 species